AGAGUUUGAUCAUGGCUCAGAUUGAACGCUGGCGGCAGGCCUAACACAUGCAAGUCGAGCGGAUGAGUGGAGCUUGCUCCAUGAUUCAGCGGCGGACGGGUGAGUAAUGCCUAGGAAUCUGCCUGGUAGUGGGGGACAACGUUUCGAAAGGAACGCUAAUACCGCAUACGUCCUACGGGAGAAAGCAGGGGACCUUCGGGCCUUGCGCUAUCAGAUGAGCCUAGGUCGGAUUAGCUAGUUGGUGAGGUAAAGGCUCACCAAGGCGACGAUCCGUAACUGGUCUGAGAGGAUGAUCAGUCACACUGGAACUGAGACACGAUCCAGACUCCUACGGGAGGCAGCAGUGGGGAAUAUUGGACAAUGGGCGAGAGCCUGAUCCAGCCAUGCCGCGUGUGUGAAGAAGGUCUUCGGAUUGUAAAGCACUUUAAGUUGGGAGGAAGGGCAGUAAGCUAAUACCUUGCUGUUUUGACGUUACCGACAGAAUAAGCACCGGCUAACUUCGUGCCAGCAGCCGCGGUAAUACGAAGGGUGCAAGCGUUAAUCGGAAUUACUGGGCGUAAAGCGCGCGUAGGUGGUUCAGCAAGUUGGAUGUGAAAGCCCCGGGCUCAACCUGGGAACUGCAUCCAAAACUACUGAGCUAGAGUACGGUAGAGGGUGGUGGAAUUUCCUGUGUAGCGGUGAAAUGCGUAGAUAUAGGAAGGAACACCAGUGGCGAAGGCGACCACCUGGACUGAUACUGACACUGAGGUGCGAAAGCGUGGGGAGCAAACAGGAUUAGAUACCCCGGUAGUCC
rnacentral:rRNA from 1 species